GUCUGGACUCAGUCUGGCCUUCGGUUUCUGUCUCAGUGGCCUAAAGGGGAAUGGAAGGUCUGGACAGCCUCCACUCCUCUAAACUCCUGCUUAGGCAUAUGCAUUGAAGAUCUGGGUGACAUCACAGAUACACCAUGAUCUAGAAGGUAGGUGGUUGCUAAAAACCUCUGCUUCAGAGUCUGUACUCCUAUAUUUAAUAUGAAAUUCACCUUUAACCUUUUUCAUUCCCAUUGUUUUUUCUCCAGCUGAAACACUGAGACACUGUCUAGUUUAUAAGCAUGUUUGAAACUGCUUGUUCAGGAAGUCGCUGACAUCUCUAUGGUGUUGCAGUCUCCCCUGCCUCUCACCUCUUCAAACCUGAAGACACAAGGUGGGAUGCCCUUCUGGGAUCAAGAAUAUAGGACUAAUUGGUGGACAGGAUCCAAGCACUCAACCACCCAAGGACUUUGCCAUAAAUCACUGUCAUGUCCUUACCCCAUAGUAUUGUUCUGAAGAUACAUUAAAGAUUAAGAGGCCGUCAGAUGCUACAGCGAUGGAGACCAUAUAAGUUCCAUACCUAGACAGAGGUUUUUCUCCCCCUGCUCCCCGUUUAAGAGACUGAUUUUGAGUCACUAAAAGAAGAAGAGCCUUAGUUCUAAGUGGGGAAAAGGCAAUUUUUUCAUAGCUUAAAUGGCUGUUCCCAGAAGCCAUAUUAGGAGGGCAGAAGGUACAGAAAAAGACUUGUCAGGCUGGAACCACUGAUAGGAGCUAACACCUUCCACUAGUUGCUCAAUGCUGUAAUAUCAGCAUGCUUCCAGGCUUGUUGCUGGGGAGGAUCCAGGAAUGAAUUAUACUGCCUCUGGCAGAGAAAGGAAGCAAAUGGAGCCAUCUGCUGCCACCAGCUCCAACUUCAGCUGCUCAAGGGAUCAAAGGCUCUUCUCUCCAAAUUCCCUUAAACCAGCAGUUCCCAAACUCUGACAGAUUACGCAUCACCAAUUUACAAUGAUACAACCUUAAAUACCACCAGCACAUUUUUCAGUUCAACCUUAAGUACCAGCAGUGAAUUUUUGUCAUAU
rnacentral:lncRNA from 1 species